UACGUAGGGGGCAAGCGUUGUCCGGAUUUAUUGGGCGUAAAGAGCGUGUAGGCGGCUAGAUAGGUCCGUUGUGAAAACUCGAGGCUCAACCUCGAGACGUCGAUGGAAACCAUCUAGCUAGAGUCCGGAAGAGGAGAGUGGAAUUCCUGGUGUAGCGGUGAAAUGCGCAGAUAUCGGGAGGAACACCUGUGGCGAAGGCGGCCCCCUGGUUGGAUACUGACGCUGAGACGCGAAAGCGUGGGGAGCAAACAGG
rnacentral:rRNA from 1 species